ACCUGGAUGGCUCAGUUGGUUGAGCAUCAGACUUGGGCUCAGAUGUUGAUCUCCCAGUUCAUGGGUUCAAGCCCCGUGUCGGGCG
rnacentral:tRNA from 1 species